rnacentral:rRNA from 1 species
CCGGUUGAUCCUGCCGGAGGCUACCGCUAUUGGAGUUCGAUUAAGCCAUGCGAGUCGCGAGUCUUAGGGACUCGGCGUACCGCUCAGUAACACGUGGGUAACCUGCCCUAUGCUGGGGGAUAACCUCGGGAAACUGAGAAUAAUACCCCAUAGUUCACCACGCCUGGAACGGUUGGUGGACCAAAGCUCCGGCGGCAUAGGAUGGGCCUGCGGCGUAUCAGGUUGUAGGGGGUGUAAUGUACCCUCUAGCCCUCUACGCGUACGGGUGUUGAGAGACAUCGCCCGGAGAUGGAUUCUGAGACACGAAUCCAGACCCUACGGGGUGCAGCAGGCGCGAAAACUUGGCAAUGCGAGAAAUCGUGACCAGGGAACUCCAAGUGCAUUGGGUAAGACCGAUGCUUUUCUUGACUCUUCAAAGGUCUUGGAAUAAGGGGUGGGUAAGGACGGUGCCAGCCGCCGCGGUAAUACCGGCGCCCCAAGUGGUAGUCGCUUUUAUUGGGCCUAAAACGUCCGUAGCCGGUCUGGUACAUUCGUGGGUAAAUCAACCAGCUCAACUGGUUGAAUUCUGCGAGCACGGCCAGACUUGGGACCGGGAGAGGUGUGGGGUACUCUCAGGGUAGGGGUAAAAUCCUGUCAUCCUGAGAGGACCACCUGUUGCGAAGGCGCCACACUAGAACGGAUCCGACGGUCAGGGACGAAGCCUAGGGGCACGAACCGGAUUAGAUACCCGGGUAGUCCUAGGUGUAAACGCUGUGGACUUGAUGUUGGGGGCGCUCCGAGCGCACUCAGUGUCGAAGCGAAGGUGAUAAGUCCACUGCCUGGGGAGUACGGUCGCAAGGCUGAAACUUAAAGGAAUUGGCGGGGGAGCACCGCAACCUGAG